rnacentral:rRNA from 1 species
UACGAGGGGCGCACGUUGUCCGGAAUUAUUGGGCGUAAAGAGCUCGUAGGCGGCUUGUCACGUCGGGUGUGAAAGCCCGGGGCUUAACCCCGGGUCUGCAUUCGAUACGGGCUAGCUAGAGUGUGGUAGGGGAGAUCGGAAUUCCUGGUGUAGCGGUGAAAUGCGCAGAUAUCAGGAGGAACACCGGUGGCGAAGGCGGAUCUCUGGGCCAUUACUGACGCUGAGGAGCGAAAGCGUGGGGAGCGAACAGG